UGGGGAAUAUUGGGCAAUGGGGGAAACCCUGACCCAGCAACGCCGCGUGAAGGAAGAAGGUUUUCGGAUCGUAAACUUCUAUCCUUGGUGAAGAUAAUGACGGUAGCCAAGAAGGAAGCCCCGGCUAACUACGUGCCAGCAGCCGCGGUAAUACGUAGGGGGCAAGCGUUGUCCGGAAUGAUUGGGCGUAAAGGGCGCGUAGGCGGCCUGGUAAGUCUGGAGUGAAAGUCCUGCUUUUAAGGUGGGAAUUGCUUUGGAUACUGUCGGGCUUGAGUGCAGGAGAGGUAAGCGGAAUUCCCGGUGUAGCGGUGAAAUGCGUAGAGAUCGGGAGGAACACCAGUGGCGAAGGCGGCUUACUGGACUGUAACUGACGCUGAGGCGCGAAAGUGUGGGGAGCAAACA
rnacentral:rRNA from 1 species